rnacentral:lncRNA from 1 species
AUGAGAUGUUGCUUCAGCUUAUUGAACAGCCAGAUUGCUGCUUCCUUUCCUGAACAUGAGAAAAAGAAUUCUGGUUUAAAACAUAACGUGCUGACAGCAGCUGAAAUCUCUCCAAUGACCUAUCUAGUCUGGACUAUCCGGUGUAUCUUCUGCAUAAUUAUCUAUACUGGGAUCUUCUGGGAACAGGAACUCAAUUACACAGCAGGAUUUGGCCCUUAUUUGCCUGAAAUUGACAGGAAAAUGAACAUCUGAUGAAGACUGAAUCACUUUAAAUGCGUAGAAAAAAAAUAGAUUCUUUCUACGGACAAGGUGGAAAUAGCGAGCCCUGCUGCAGAACAUCUUUGUAAGCCAAGAAGUUUGCAGUAUGUUUCGAUAUGACCUCCCAUUCCCCCUUGUUAUCUUCCACUUACUAACCGUGAUCUAACUGUUAUUGAUAGAGCCAUUAUUCUGCUUGGGACAGCAAUGAUGGUCUCACUGACCUUGCCCUGGGUAAUCAGAAACUCAUUUAAUCCUUAGCAUACCCUUCGUGAAAGUACACUGAAGGAAAAGCAUAUUCAGGUCAAGAAGCAGGUAUAUGUUUCUAUGAGGAUUUCUUCUAACAUGACUAAUUAUCUCAAGAGAUGCAUUGUACUCCACCAAAUAUGUUGCAAAUUUGCCUAAAUGUCUCUUUAGUCUUAGAGAUCAAAGCUGUUAUAAGAACAAGAGAAUAAAAAUCUCUAAUACUUGAUACUGCA